rnacentral:rRNA from 1 species
GACGAACGCUGGCGGCGUGCUUAACACAUGCAAGUCGAACGGAAAGGCCCUGCUUUUGUGUGGUUCUCGAGUGGCGAACGGGUGAGUAACCCGUGAGUCACCUUCCCUUUACUUUGUGAUAACUUCAGGAAACUGGUGCUACUACCUGCUAGCAGCUCCUGCUGCAUGGUGGGCUUUGGACCUUUUAGGCGGUUGGGGAUGGACUGGCGGCUUACGAGCUUGUUGGUGGGGUAGUGGCUUACCCAGGGAUUGACGGGUAGCCUGCCUGGGAGGGUGAACGGGGACAAGGGGACUGAGGUAGGGCGCAGACGGGAACGGGGGGCAGUGGGGGGGAAUAUGGUACAACGGGCGGGAGUGUGAUGCAGAGACGCCGGGAGCGGGAUGAAGGCCUUCGGGGGGUAAACCGCAGUAACCUGAGACGAAGCGGGAGUGACGGUAAUAGGUGAAGAAGCACCGGCUAACUACGUG